AGCAGUGAAACACAAGAAGGUGAAUUUGACAAAACAAUGAACAAUUCUUCAUAUAUCAUUUCAGAUAUUGUCCUACAACCUUUAUUGGAGACAAUUUGACGGUGCCAAGAAACCAUCUUGAAGCAUAAUGCAGAAUAAAUUAACCAUGGCCUUUUGGAUUAGCACAGUGGGACCUCGACGCCAAAGAAGCUGAACUGCGACUCCCCAAGGAGAUAACAGUGUGCCAAAGAAUCACCCAUUACUACAUAGUGCCCCAGGACCACCU
rnacentral:lncRNA from 1 species